GUAGUCGUGGUCCAGUGGUUAAGGCGAUGAACUAGAAAUCCAUUGGGGUUUCCCCGCGCACGUUCGAAUCCUGACGACUACG